ACAGCCAUAUAACGUUGGAACACCGGUUCUCCUACGAUUAUUGAAGUUAAGCAACGCUGAGCCUAGUCAGUAGCUAGGUGGGUGACUGUCUGGAAAUACCAGGUGCUGUAAG